rnacentral:snoRNA from 1 species
UCUCUCUCUGCUCUGCAAAGUUACAUUCAGCUUCACAUGAGUGACUUUCAUCAUGGGGAGAGAGAGAAAAGAUCUCCUCAGGACCCCAGAUUGCCCCUACAGUGGUUUCUCUUUGCUUGAGGGGUACAACAGGU